AACGGCCAUACCACGCUGAAAACACCGGUUCUCGUCUGAUCACCGCAGUUAAGCAGCGUUGGGCGUGGUUAGUACUUGGAUGGGUGACCGCCUGGGAACACCACGUGUUGUU
rnacentral:rRNA from 1 species